rnacentral:rRNA from 1 species
GACGAAGGUGGCGAGCGUUGUUCGGAAUCACUGGGCAUAAAGCGCACGUAGGCGGCGGCGUAAGUUGGAUGUGAAAUCCCCCGGCCCAACCGGGGAACUGCGUCCAGUACUGCGUUGCUUGAGGAUCCAAGGGGUGCAUGGAAUUCCCGGUGGAGCGGUGAAAUGCGUUGAUAUCGGGAGGAACUCCGGCGGCGAAAGCGGUGCACUGGUGGAUUACUGACGCUGAGGUGCGAAAGCGUGGGGAGCGAACAGG